rnacentral:sRNA from 1 species
GAGUUGCUGGUAGUGCCCGUGGUGCUUGGUUCGAGGUGGCCGUUAGUUGACUCCGCGGAGUUCAUCUCCCUGGUUUUCCCGUCCUAACGUCGCUCGCCUUUCAGUCAGGAUGUCUGCCCGUGGCCCGGCUAUCGGCAUCGACCUGGGCACCACCUAUUCGUGCGUGGGGGUCUUCCAACAUGGCAAGGUGGAGAUCAUCGCCAACGACCAGGGCAAUCGCACCAUCACGGGGCUCAAUGUGCUGCGCAUCAUCAACGAGCCCACGGCGGCGGCCAUCGCCUACGGCCUGGACAAGAAGGGCUGCGCGGGCGGCGAGAAGAACGUGCUCAUCUUUGACCUGGGCGGUGGCACUUUCGACGUGUCCAUCCUGACCAUCGAGGAUGGCAUCUUCGAGGUGAAGUCCACGGCCGGCGACACCCACCUGGGCGGUGAGGACUUCGACAACCGCAUGGUGAGC